GACGAACGCUGGCGGCGUGCUUAACACAUGCAAGUCGAACGGAAAGGCCCUGCUUUUGUGGGGUGCUCGAGUGGCGAACGGAUGAGUAACACGUGAGUAACCUGCCCGUGACUUUGGGAUAACUUCAGGAAACUGGGGCUAAUACCGGAUAGGAGCUCCUGCUGCAUGGUGGGGGUUGGAAAGUUUCGGCGGUUGGGGAUGGACUCGCGGCUUAUCAGCUUGUUGGUGGGGUAGUGGCUUACCAAGGCUUUGACGGGUAGCCGGCCUGAGAGGGUGACCGGCCACAAUGGGACUGAGAUACGGCCCAGACUCCUACGGGAGGCAGCAGUGGGGAAUAUUACACAAUGGGCGGAAGCCUGAUGCAGCAACGCCGCGUGCGGGAUGACGGCCUUCGGGUUGUAAACCGCUUUCGCCUGUGACGAAGCGUGAGUGACGGUAAUGGGUAAAGAAGCACCGGCUAACUACGUG
rnacentral:rRNA from 1 species